GAUGAACGCUGGCGGCGUGCCUAAUACAUGCAAGUCGAGCGAAUGGAUUAAGAGCUUGCUCUUAUGAAGUUAGCGGCGGACGGGUGAGUAACACGUGGGUAACCUGCCCAUAAGACUGGGAUAACUCCGGGAAACCGGGGCUAAUACCGGAUAACAUUUUGAACCGCAUGGUUAGAAAUUGAAAGGCGGCUUCGGCUGUCACUUAUGGAUGGACCCGCGUCGCAUGAGCUAGUUGGUGAGGUAACGGCUCACCAAGGCAACGAUGCGUAGCCGACCUGAGAGGGUGAUCGGCCACACUGGGACUGAGACACGGCCCAGACUCCUACGGGAGGCAGCAGUAGGGAAUCUUCCGCAAUGGACGAAAGUCUGACGGAGCAACGCCGCGUGAGUGAUGAAGGCUUUCGGGUCGUAAAACUCUGUUGUUAGGGAAGAACAAGUGCUAGUUGAAUAAGCUGGCACCUUGACGGUACCUAACCAGAAAGCCACGGCUAACUACGUGCCAGCAGCCGCGGUAA
rnacentral:rRNA from 1 species